GCGGCCGUGGCGGAAUUGGUAGACGCGCUGCCUUGAGGUGGCAGUGGGUAACACCGUGGAGGUUCGAGUCCUCUCGGCCGCACCA
rnacentral:tRNA from 1 species